ACGUACGCUGGCGGCACGCCUAACACAUGCAAGUCGAACGCAGUAGCAAUACUGAGUGGCGAACGGGUGAGUAUAAUGUGGGUAUCUGCCUUUUGGUUUGGAAUAACACGGGGAAACUUGUGCUAAUACCGGAUAAGCCUUCACAGGGAAAGUUUUAACGCCAAAAGAUGAGCCCGCACUUGAUUAGCUAGUUGGUAGGGUAAUGGCCUACCAAGACUAUGAUCAAUAGCUGAUUUGAGAGGAUGAUCAGCCACAUUGGGACUGAGACACGGCCCAAACUCCUACGGGAGGCAGCAGUGGGGAAUCUUGCACAAUGGAGGAAACUCUGAUGCAGCGAUGCCGCGUGAGUGAAGAAGGCCUUUGGGUUGUAAAGCUCUUUCGUCGGGGAAGAAAAUGACUGUACCCGAAUAAGAAGGUCCGGCUAACUUCGUGCCAGCAGCCGCGGUAAUACGAAGGGACCUAGCGUAGUUCGGAAUUACUGGGCUUAAAGAGUUCGUAGGUGGUUGAAAAAGUUGGUGGUGAAAUCCCAGAGCUUAACUCUGGAACUGCCAUCAAAACUUUUCAGCUAGAGUAUGAUAGAGGAAAGCAGAAUUUCUAGUGUAGAGGUGAAAUUCGUAGAUAUUAGAAAGAAUACCAAUUGCGAAGGCAGCUUUCUGGAUCAUUACUGACACUGAGGAACGAAAGCAUGGGUAGCGAAGAGGAUUAGAUACCCUCGUAGUCCAUGCCGUAAACGAUGUGUGUUAGACGUUGGAAAUUUAUUUUCAGUGUCGCAGGGAAACCGAUAAACACACCGCCUGGGGAGUACGACCGCAAGGUUAAAACUCAAAUGAAUUGACGGGGACCCGCACAAGUAGUGGAGCAUGUGGUUUAAUUCGAAGAUACGCGCAGAACCUUACCAACACUUGACAUGUUCGUCGCGACUCUAAGAGAUUAGAGUUUUCGGUUCGGCCGGACGAAACACAGGUGCUGCAUGGCUGUCGUCAGCUCGUGUCGUGAGAUGUUGGGUUAAGUCCCGCAACGAGCGCAACCCUCACUUUUAGUUGCCAUCAUUAAGUUGGGCACUCUGAAAGAACUGCCAGUGAUAAGCUGGAGGAAGGUGGGGAUGACGUCAAGUCCUCAUGGCCCUUACGUGUUGGGCUACACACGUGCUACAAUGGCAUCUACAACAGGAAGCAAAACGGCAACGUUAAGCAAAUCCCGAAAAGAUGCCUCAGUUCGGAUUGCACUCUGCAACUCGAGUGCAUGAAGCUGGAAUUACUAGUAAUCGUGGAUCAGCGUGCCACGGUGAAUGCGUUCCCGGGUCUUGUACACACCGC
rnacentral:rRNA from 1 species